rnacentral:rRNA from 1 species
CCUACGGGGCGCAGCAGUGAGGAAUAUUGGUCAAUGGCCGCAGGGCUGAACCAGCCAAGUCGCGUGAGGGAUGACGGUCCUAUGGAUUGUAAACCUCUUUUGUCAGGGAGCAAAGGGCGCCACGUGUGGCGCUUUGCGAGUACCUGAAGAAAAAGCAUCGGCUAACUCCGUGCCAGCAGCCGCGGUAAUACGGAGGAUGCGAGCGUUAUCCGGAUUUAUUGGGUUUAAAGGGUGCGCAGGCGGAAUGUCAAGUCAGCGGUAAAAUUUCGGGGCUCAACCCCGUCGUGCCGUUGAAACUGGCGUUCUUGAGUGAGCGAGAAGUAUGCGGUAUGCGUGGUGUAGCGGUGAAAUGCAUAGAUAUCACGCAGAACUCCGAUUGCGAAGGCAGCAUACCGGCGCUCAACUGACGCUCAUGCACGAAAGCGUGGGUAUCGAACAGGAUUAGAUACCCCUGUAGUC